UCCCAAUUCAGCUGAAUCUCACAUCCCUACACGCACCUGCUCAAAAUAAACAGCUGCACGGUUUGUGAGGAACGUCAUGUCACCAUCGUACAGCUCCAGGGCCCUGUUGUAGUGCGCAAUGGCAGCAUCGAAGUCCUUCUUCUUGUACGCCUCGUUGCCCGCCUCCUUCGCCUUGAAGGCCUCCGCCUUCCGAGCCGCCGCCUCGCGCUCAUCAUCCGCCAUUUCCACGUCCGCGGGCUCGGGCUCCCGCGGCACCGGUUUGGCGUGCUCUGAGGACUUGGCGGGCUCCGGUUUGACUGCCUGUUGAGAGGUGUUGAGCGUUGGGGUGGGUGCGCUAUACUUCGUGGAUCAACUUGACUACGUGUGUUUCUCACGUGACUUGACAUCCAAGCCGCGAGGGAGGGAAACCCCGGGGUAGGCAUUUGGCGAAAGACAGGUCAGUGUCGGUGUGCGUGCGGUGUUGUGCUAAAGCUUGCACGGAUGCGAGGUGACGUAAUGUACUUCGGGUCAACGACGUAGAGCGCAACGCCAUCAGCUUUGUAAUGAGACUCAGAUGCAGCGCAGAUGCGCGGCGUGAAGUGAAGGCAGGAAGAGGACAGCAGCGGGUGGAAGGUGCGGCGGCAGAGACUUUAGGUAAAUCAAUAUCGAUCUCCUUGCCACUUCCCAAUCGCUCACCUCUGCACGGGCGUGAGCCGCACCGCCGUUGGCAGAGGAGUGCGCCUCGUCCGAGGCUUCAGGUCCCCGGCUCAUCUUGAGCCCCAGCGCAAUCUCCAACAGCUGUGUACAGGAAGUUGAUGUGAGGCAGGGUUAGCGUAGGGUAGGGGCAACGGGCGGCCACACCAUUCUGGCACAAUAUAAAUGUGUGUGUGAUUCAAGUGGUGGCGGCAGUGGUGGUGCAGCAGCUUUGAGAGCGUUCGUGCAAAAGCCGCAUAAGCGGCGGUUAGUCCGAGCACGCAGGUUGGGAGCUGGGUCCUGUGGACACCCACUUGCAGUACGAAAGCAAGUGCUCUGCGUGUGUUAUGGAUGGCUGGGUAAUAGCUCUUUGCUACCAAAUUGAAUGUGCUUCAAACCAUUGUGCCUUUCACGGCUACCUCAUACGCAUAACUCUCCUCUCCCCACGCCGCCUCCGCAUUUGCCACAUGCCCAUUAACAACGUUCACCUUUCAUCUCCGGCGGUCCCGUCCCUACUCUUGUCCGCAAAAUCUGCAAUUCCCCCUUGCUAUGUAAGAGUUUCACUCGUCUGCGAUUGACUUGUCCCUUCCCCCUAUCUCUUUCCGUCAACCUCCCACCCCACCAGCUGCAUCCGCGGGUCCUGCAGGUACAUGUUGAUGCGGCUGGGGUCCGCCUGCACAUCCGCAAACAUCCGCAUGAAGUCGGGCUGCUCCAGCAGCGCCUUGCCCCGUGGGUCCGUUGCGAGCUUCAAAAUGACCUCUGGCGAUGCAAAGGGACUACGUGGCCGGGCCGCGGCAGAACGCGCCUCCUCGAGCCCCAACUUGAGCUGCUCGUUGGCGGGGUCCAA
rnacentral:lncRNA from 1 species